GACGAACGCUGGCGGCGUGCCUAAUACAUGCAAGUCGAGCGAAGUGGAGGAAGCUUGCUUCCAAAGCUUAGCGGCGAACGGGUGAGUAACACGUGGGCAACCUGCCCGAUAGACCGGGAUAACUUGGGGAAACUCAAGCUAAUACCGGAUAGGAUCAUUGACCGCAUGGUUGGUGAUGGAAAGUCUGAACGACACUAUCGGAUGGGCUCGCGGCGCAUUAGCUAGUUGGUGGGGUAACGGCCUACCAAGGCGACGAUGCGUAGCCGACCUGAGAGGGUGACCGGCCACACUGGGACUGAGACACGGCCCAGACUCCUACGGGAGGCAGCAGUAGGGAAUCUUCCACAAUGGGCGAAAGCCUGAUGGAGCAACGCCGCGUGAGUGAUGAAGGUUUUCGGAUCGUAAAACUCUGUUGUUAGGGAAGAACACCCGGGAGAGGAUCCCGGAUUGACGGUACCUGACGAGAAAGCCCCGGCUAACUACGUGCCAGCCGCCGCAGUAA
rnacentral:rRNA from 1 species